UCUGGAUGUAAUGUUGCUACAUUGCUUAUAUACUUGUUAUCAUGAUUUUCAUUUAUUAAAAUGUACAUCAGGGAAACAUGACAAAAACAUGGGCGGAUUUACUGGGGGCCGGGGGUAAACCCCCUUCUCUCUAACCCCUCUUAUAAAGUUUUCAGCCCCACUAACAUUUUGCUUCAUCCCUCCUAUUUUGUCAUGUGUGAAGUCUUCAACCCUUAGACCCCUCUAAAUAGCUUGCUCAAUGGUGCCGCUUGCACUCCUCUAGAAAUUUUUCCACUCCUAAUGAAAAUCCGCCCUUGGACAAAAAUUUAUGGCAAGUUCAUGGCAUGCCUAUAUAAAUAACAUAAGGUGUUCACCCCUAUAUCAGUCUAAGAUGAGGUUUAUAUCCCUGCCCCUAUAUGUAACAUAAGGUGUUCACCCCUAUAUCAGUGUAAGAUGUGGUUUAUACCCCUGCCCCUAUGUUGCCAUAAGGUGUCAACCCCUAUACGAUUAUAAGAUAAGGUUUAUACCCCUGCCUCUAUAAAUAACAUAAGGCAUUCACCCCUAUAUCAGUGCAAGAUAAAGUUUAUACCCCUGCCCCUAUAUGUAACAUAAGGCGUUCACCCCUAUAUCAGUGUAAGAUAAGGUUUAUACAUCUGCCCCUAUCUGAACAUUAGGUGUCCACCCCUAUAUCAGUGUAAGAUAAGGUUUAUACCCCUGCCCCUAUGUGUAACAUAAGAUGUCCACCCCUAUAUCAGUGUAAGAUAAGGUUUAUACCCCUGCCCCUAUGUGUAACAUAAGGUGUUCACCCCUAUAACAGUGUAAGAUAAGGUUUAUACCCCUGCCCCUAUGUGUAACAUAAGGUGUUCACCCCUAUAACAGUGUAAGAUAAGGUUUAUACCCCUGCCCCUAUAUGUAACAUAAGGCAUUCACCCCUAUAUCUGUGUAAGAUAAGGUUUAUACCCCUGCCCCCGGUAGAUAUUCAAUUGUUUUUCAUGUUCGCUGCAUGCAUUUUGGGUCUAUUGAUUAAAAUUGAGAAUUUUGCCAGCUAACAUGAAUUAAAUUUGCUGCCUUGCUUGCUCCCUGCGGUAGCAAUAAUCGUUACACAUUGUCCAAUUUUCCCCACUAUGUAAUAAAAUAACUAGACCCCC
rnacentral:lncRNA from 1 species